GUCCUCUCGUUUUUUUGGGAGGUCUGGCCUGCCCAGUGAUUUUUUAACGGCCGCGGUAUAUUGACCGUGCAAAGGUAGCAUAAUCAUUAGUCUUUUAAUAGGGGGCUGGAAUGAAAGGUUUAACGAAAAAUUAACUCUCUCAAUUAUAAAAUUGAAUUUAACUUUUAAGUCAAAAGGCUUAAAUGAUAUUGGAGGACGAGAAGACCCUAUAGAGCUUUACAUCUUUAGUAUUUGAAUUGGUUUAGUUAAAUAAUUUUAAUUUACUUGCUUUGAAUGUUUUGUUGGGGUGACAAAAAAUACAUAAUUAACUUUUCUUAUAGUGUUUACAUUAAUAAAUGAAUAUUGGAUCCAAUUAUUUUUGAUCAUUAGAUUAAGUUACCUUAGGGAUAACAGCGUAAUCUUCUUUCAGAGUUCAAAUUUACAAGAAGGCUUGCGACCUCGAUGUUGGAUUAAGAUAAUAGUUAGGUGCAGUAGCUUAACUUAUAGGUCUGUUCGACCUUUAAAUUCUUACAUGAUCUGAGUUCAGACCGG
rnacentral:rRNA from 1 species